rnacentral:lncRNA from 1 species
AAAAGUCAUGGAGGCCAUGGGGUUGGCUUGAAACCAGCUUUGGGGGGUUCGAUUCCUUCCUUUUUUGUCUAGAUUUUAUGUAUACGGGUUCUUCGAAUGUGUGUGUUGUGGGAAGAAAGUUAGAUUUACGCCGAUGAAUAUGAUAGCGAAAUGGAUUUUGGCGUAGGUUUGGUCUAGGGUGUAGCCUGAGAAUAGGGGAAAUCAGUGAAUGAAGCCUCCUAUGAUGGCAAAUACAGCUCCUAUUGAUAGGACAUAGUGGAAGUGGGCUACAACGUAGUACGUGUCGUGUAGUACGAUGUCUAGUGAUGAGUUUGCUAAUACAAUGCCAGUCAGGCCACCUACGGUGAAAAGAAAAAUAAAUCCUAGGGCUCAGAGCACUGCAGCAGAUCAUUUCAUAUUGCUUCCGUGGAGUGUGGCGAGUCAGCUAAAUACUUUGACGCCGGUGGGGAUAGCGAUGAUUAUGGUAGCGGAGGUGAAAUAUGCUCGUGUGUCUACGUCUAUUCCUACUGUAAAUAUAUGGUGUGCUCACACGAUAAACCCUAGGAAGCCAAUUGAUAUCAUAGCUCAGACCAUACCUAUGUAUCCAAAUGGUUCUUUUUUUCCCGGAGUAGUAAGUUACAAUAUGGGAGAUUAUUCCGAAGCCUGGUAGGAUGAGAAUAUAAACUUCAGGGUGACCGAAAAAUCAGAAUAGGUGUUGGUAUAGAAUGGGGUCUCCUCCUCCGGCUGGGUCGAAGAAGGUGGUGUUGAGGUUACGGUCUGUUAGUAGUAUAGUGAUGCCAGCGGCUAGGACUGGGAGAGAUAGGAG